rfam:Triticum aestivum genome assembly, contig: Triticum_aestivum_CS42_TGACv1_scaffold_289544_4AL
AUGAUGCUCCCUCCGUUCGGAAUUACUUAUCGCAAAAAUAAAUAAAGAUGAAUGUAUUUAGAACUAAAAUAUGUCUAAAUACAUUCAUUUUUCUGACAAGUAUUUUCAAACGGAGGGAGUACAUG